rnacentral:hammerhead_ribozyme from 1 species
AUUCACCUGACGAGUCCCGAAUAGGACGAAACACGAGUCCUGGAU